AUUGAACGCUGGCGGCAUGCCUUACACAUGCAAGUCGAACGGCAGCACGGGGGCAACCCUGGUGGCGAGUGGCGAACGGGUGAGUAACAUAUCGGAACAUACCCUAGAGUGUGGGAUAACGUAGCGAAAGUUACGCUAAUACCGCAUACGAUCUAAGGAUGAAAGUGGGGGAUCUUCGGACCUCAUGCUCAUGGAGUGGCCGAUAUCUGAUUAGCUAGUUGGUGAGGUAAAGGCUCACCAAGGCGACGAUCAGUAGCUGGUUUGAGAGAACGACCAGCCACACUGGAACUGAGACACGGUCCAGACUCCUACGGGAGGCAGCAGUGGGGAAUUUUGGACAAUGGGGGCGAACCCUGAUCCAGCAAUGCCGCGUGAGUGAAGAAGGCCU
rnacentral:rRNA from 1 species